UACGAAGGAUCCAAGCGUUAUCCGGAUUCCUUGGGUUUAAAGGGUGCGUAGGCGGGUUUGUAAGUCAGUGGUGAAAUCCUAUCGCUUAACGAUGGAACUGCCAUUGAUACUGCGGACCUAGAAUAUAGAUGAUGUUGGCGGAAUAUGACAUGUAGCGGUGAAAUGCAUAGAUAUGUCAUAGAACACCGAUUGCGAAGGCAGCUGACAAAACUAUUAUUGACGCUGAUGCACGAAAGUGCGGGGAUCAAACAGG
rnacentral:rRNA from 1 species